CCUACGGGAGGCAGCAGUGAGGAAUAUUGGUCAAUGGACGAGAGUCUGAACCAGCCAAGUAGCGUGAAGGAUGACUGCCCUAUGGGUUGUAAACUUCUUUUAUAUGGGAAUAAAACGUUCCACGUGUGGGAUUUUGUAUGUACCAUAUGAAUAAGGAUCGGCUAACUCCGUGCCAGCAGCCGCGGUAAUACGGAGGAUCCGAGCGUUAUCCGGAUUUAUUGGGUUUAAAGGGAGCGUAGGUGGAUUGUUAAGUCAGUUGUGAAAGUUUGCGGCUCAACCGUAAAAUUGCAGUUGAAACUGGCAGUCUUGAGUACAGUAGAGGUGGGCGGAAUUCGUGGUGUAGCGGUGAAAUGCUUAGAUAUCACGAAGAACUACGAUUGCGAAGGCAGUUCACUGGACUGCAACUGACACUGAGGCUCGAAAGUGUGGGUAUCAAACAGGAUUAGAUACCCUUGUAGUC
rnacentral:rRNA from 1 species